rnacentral:rRNA from 1 species
CACGUAGGCACCAAGCGUUGUCCGGAUUUAUUGGGCGUAAAGAGCUCGUAGGCGGUUCAGUAAGUCGGAUGUGAAACCUUUGGGCUCAACCCAAAGCCUGCAUCCGAUACUGCUGUGACUUGAGUUCGGUAGGGGAGUGGGGAAUUCCUAGUGUAGCGGUGAAAUGCGCAGAUAUUAGGAGGAACACCGGUGGCGAAGGCGCCACUCUGGGCCGAAACUGACGCUGAGGAGCGAAAGCGUGGGUAGCAAA